rnacentral:rRNA from 1 species
GAUGAACGCUGGCGGCGUGCCUAAUACAUCCAAGUCGAGCGAACAGACGAGGAGCUUGCUCCUCUGACGUUAGCGGCGGACGGGUGAGUAACACGUGGAUAACCUACCUAUAAGACUGGGAUAACUUCGGGAAACCGGAGCUAAUACCGGAUAAUAUAUUGAACCGCAUGGUUCAAUAGUGAAAGACGGUUUUGCUGUCACUUAUAGAUGGAUCCGCGCCGCAUUAGCUAGUUGGUAAGGUAACGGCUUACCAAGGCAACGAUGCGUAGCCGACCUGAGAGGGUGAUCGGCCACACUGGAACUGAGACACGGUCCAGACUCCUACGGGAGGCAGCAGUAGGGAAUCUUCCGCAAUGGGCGAAAGCCUGACGGAGCAACGCCGCGUGAGUGAUGAAGGUCUUCGAAUCGUAAAACUCUGUUAUUAGGGAAGAACAAAUGUGUAAGUAACUAUGCACGUCUUGACGGUACCUAAUCAGAAAGCCACGGCUAACUACGUG